AUUGAACGCUGGCGGCAUGCUUUACACAUGCAAGUCGAACGGUAACAGGGAGCUUGCUCCGCUGACGAGUGGCGAACGGGUGAGUAAUAUAUCGGAACGUACCUUAUCGUGGGGGAUAACGCAGCGAAAGCUGCGCUAAUACCGCAUACGCCCUGAGGGGGAAAGCGGGGGGACCGUAAGGCCUCGCGCGAUUAGAGCGGCCGAUAUCUGAUUAGCUUGUUGGUGGGGUAAAAGCCCACCAAGGCGACGAUCAGUAGCUGGUCUGAGAGGACGAUCAGCCACACUGGGACUGAGACACGGCCCAGACUCCUACGGGAGGCAGCAGUGGGGAAUAUUGGACAAUGGGCGAAAGCCUGAUCCAGCAAUGCCGCGUGAGUGAUGAAGGCCUUAGGGUUGUAAAGCUCUUUUGUACGGAACGAAAAGGUUUCUAUUAAUACUAGGAGCUCAUGACGGUACCGUAAGAAUAAGACACCGGCUAACUACGUGCCAGCAGCC
rnacentral:rRNA from 1 species